GACGAACGCUGGCGGCGUGCCUAACACAUGCAAGUCGAACGGCAGCACGGUGUGUAGCAAUACACAUGGGUGGCGAGUGGCGGACGGGUGAGUAACGCGUAGGAAUCUGCCUUAAAGCGGGGGAUAACCAGAGGAAACUCGGGCUAAUACCGCAUAACAUCCGAGGAUUAAAGCCGGCGCAACCUGGCGCAUUAAGAAGAGCCUGCGUCUGAUUGGAUGGUUGGUGGGGUAAAGGCCUACGAAGGCGUUGAUCGGUAGCUGGUCUGAGAGGAUGACCAGCCACACUGGGACUGAGACACGGCCCAGACUCCUGCGGGAGGCAGCAGUGGGGAAUAUUGGACAAUGGGGGAAACCCUGAUCCAGCAAUGCCGCGUGUGUGAAGAAGGCCUUCGGGUUGUAAAGCACUUUAGGUUGGGAAGAAGGUGUUUAGUUUAAGAGACGAAACAUUUGACGGUACCAACAGAAUAAGCACCGGCUAACUCUGUGCCAGCAGCCGCAGUAAUAC
rnacentral:rRNA from 1 species